AAUCUGCCACAAUGGGCGCAAGCGUGAUGGAGCAACGCCGCGUGUGUGAUGAAGGNUUNNGGCUCNUNAAACACUGUUAUAAGNNNNNAACGGCACUGAGAGUAACUGUUCAGUGUGUGACGGUAUCUUACCAGAAAGGAACGGCUAAAUACGUGCCAUCAGCCGCGGUAAUACGUAUGUUCCAAGCGUUAUCCGGAUUUAUUGGGCGUAAAGCGAGCGCAGACGGUUAUUUAAAUCUGAAGUGAAAGCCUUCAGCUCAACUGAGGAAUUGCUUUGGAAACUGGAUGACUUGAGUGCAGUAGAGGAAAGUGGAACUCCAUGUGUAGCGGUGAAAUGCGUAGAUAUAUGGAAGAACACCAGUGGCGAAGGCGGCUUUCUGGACUGUAACUGACGUUGAGGCUCGAAAGUGUGGGUAGCAAACA
rnacentral:rRNA from 1 species